rnacentral:rRNA from 1 species
CAAUAGCGUAUAUUAAAGUUGUUGCAGUUAAAAAGCUCGUAGUUGGAUGUCUGGCUCUGUGUUGCGGUCCACCGCAAGGUGAGCACUGCGAUGUGGGGUCUUCCUCUUGAAUGCUGCGUGUGCUCUUAGUUGAGUGUGCGUGGGGUUUGGGAUCUUACUUGAAAAAUUAGAGUGUUCAAAGCGGGCUUACGCUUGAAUAUUUCAGCAUGGAAUAACACUAUAGGACUCCUGUCCUAUUUCGUUGGUCUCGGGACGGGAGUAAUGAUUAAGAGGAACAGUUGGGGGCAUUCGUAUUUCAUUGUCAGAGGUGAAAUUCUUGGAUUUAUGAAAGACGAACUUCUGCGAAAGCAUUUGCCAAGGAUGUUUUCAUUAAUCAAGAACGAAAGUUAGGGGAUCGAAGACGAUCAGAUACC